CUUUUUCUUCUUUUCUCUUCAACCUUUGCCUCAAUCUCAUCGAGCAGAGAGUGAAACCCGAUAGAGAAACCUAGCCCUACUAUUUUUUUUCUCCUAUUUUCUCUUCAACCUUGCCUCAAUCUCAAACUUUAUGAAGCCAAACAUACCCUGAAUUUGGAGGGAAUUCAAUCUUAUUAUAACCAUGAUGUGGUAGUUGUUUUCAAGGAGGAUUCAUUCAUCUAGAGCUGCUGCUGGUGUUUAAAUUAGAGGCACAAAGGUAGAUCUAAUCAGUAGACCGUGAACUUCGGCAAUUGAGACUAUGAACUGAGACACACGGAACGAGUUCUGCAAGUGAGGUUUCAUUGUAGGGUGCUUGCAGUGUUAAAUUUGUAGACCUUUUUGUUUUGAUUUAUCACUCCAUCUCCCAGCACAAAUUACAUGGAUGAUUAAUCUACAAUUUCUGAAUCUUUUGCGUUUGAUCUUCUUCUUUUCAGUCUCCCAGUAUUGUGCCAAAAAUUUCAUAGAGAUUAAUAUUGAUUCACAGUAAGAAAAAAUACCACCGAGACCAAGCUAAUAGAAAACAAGGUUAUGACGUAAUAUUUUCAUUACCUAAUAACAGAAUUUGGGCACAUUACACGGAUUUCUAUUAGGCUUUUUCAGGGAACUAGGAACACUCACAAUCAGGCAUACGUACAGCUGGGAAAGGGAGGUCCUUCCCCAAAGACCUUGGUACCUCCCUUGCUCUUUGGUUAUUAUUUGAAUGUUCUUUUGUAUUUAGCUAGCAGGCAUAUGCUGAUGGCUACCUUAUUUUGGAUUGCAUGUGCACUACCCAUCCUCCUUUUCUCUAUACAAAUUAAAAAUUUGGUUGCCAGGUUUGUUGAUUUUUAUUUCAUUGAACACGAAGUCCUAACUAACUGUAUGUUACCUGUUCUAAUUUCAGGGGUUUUCCUUUUUUAAGAGAAAACAUGUUUGGUUGAUUUUCGUUAUAAUUUAUAAACCAGACUUCCAAAUUUUAUAAUAUGUGAUAACUCUACCAGUUAAGUUAUACACGAGCAAUCUAAAUCAAGGUAACUCAAUAUUUGAGUUCGGUUUAUAAAUCAGACUUCCAAGCUUUUAUAAUGUGAUAACUCUACCAGUCAGACUUCCAAGCUUUUACACCCAUAUAAUUUUUUUUAUCUCACUAAUAUGCUUAGGAAAAUUACACCCAUAUAAUCUUUUUUAGCUAAAUACGACAGAUACAAGGACCAACUUUAUCCGUGACAUUCAAAUGGGUAUGAAUUGGGAAACUCUCGAACUGGGUAAUGAAAGUCCACUAGCUCAAGCUAUGUGACUUCUGUAGUGCGUAUAAACCUAAC